UCUCUUUUCCAAACACAACAAACUCACCGCCACACACUGCCCUUCCUGCGACCUUGAAUCCAGAGACCACCAGGCCCAAAAGCCACCUGGAGGAUUUCACUACUGUCUCUGUGGUGGUCAGAAGGGCUGAGAGCAGAACGCAGGAGCCAGAAGACAAUGUCAGAACCCCUUGGAACUGGAGUUACAGACAGGUCCUGGGCCUUGAACUCAUAUCGCGAAGCUUAGAAGUGAGCGCCCUUACAGGCUGAGCCACCUCUGGAUCCUACUGAACAUAUUUAAACAGUGUGUAUCUGCACUGGAGUCUUGGUGAGGAGUCACAGAGAGCAGCUCCUGCCAUUCCGUGCCUGCAGAGCCUCCUGGCAGCUGCUGGGAACUGGCAAUCCCCACCUUCCUCCUGGGCUGGUUUGAUAUGGGGUAAGGCCAGCACCCAGAUGUCCUCUCCUUGGGAAAAGCCCUGAUCCGCCCAUGUGCCUGGAUGACAAAGCCACACACAGCAGCUGCAGGAUAACAGUUACAGCUCUUCAGUCUGGGGAGGGCUGUGACCGUCUGAGGUUUCACAACAGGUCUGAAGGACAAGCUGAAGUAUGAACCCAGAUGCCUAGACUUGAGGUUCAAAGCAGCCUCAAGGCUCCAGUCUCCCAGGGACUUAAAGCUGUUUCUUGUCAACAACAUUGCCCAGAAGCAGCUCGGAUGCAGACUGCACGUAUACAGGUGCCCAGGACAGUCAGAGUCUUUCACAAACAUGAGCGCCUAUGUCAUUGUCAAACAGCACCGCGGUCCCUUAGUGCCUAGAAAGGAUGUCAAACCUGGGGAUGACAGCCCAGAGUCCCUUACGAACAGCAGUGUAAUGUAUGAACUAUCUAAGUAUUAGGGAAUCCACAACAGACCAAAGCAUGGAUACGCCCCAAGUCCAACGUGGUGAACCGAUGAAUCUCCAAAGCACAACCUAGACACAGGUGACAUCUCUGGGAACCUGAGCACAAGACACAGCUUCAGCGAGCUCAGCAGGUUGGUCACAGACCAGACAACAAAAGGUUCAUCCUCCUGCCUGACCAUCAUCCAUCCAUCAGCAAGACCAUGCUCCAGUUUGGACUUCCUGGAUUCUGCAGCUUCAUGCAGGAGUUAGAGCAUGUGAGGAGAUCAGCUCGGGUCCAUAGCUGGGCCCACCCACCUGCUUCUCUUCCUGUCCUCAGUGUCACAACAAUACAGGAUUCAGUCGUGAGGAUACCCCAGCCCAUCUGCUCAUUGCUCCACACAGCUACUGCCUCCAGAAGUUGAACACCUGUGACAGAGCCAAUUAUCUAGGGAUAGAGGAGCCAAGAGGCUUGGGUUGCCCUUGAGGCUGUAUUUGGGCCAUUCAGAAGUUUAGUCCAUUAUCAAAAUGGCACUGAGUAUGAAGACACACAGGCAGACAGGAUGCUGGAGAAGGAGCUGAGAGUUCUGUAUCUGGAUCCGUGGACAGCAGGAGAGACACUGGGACUGGCUUGGAUUUUUGAAACAUCAAAGGAUGCCUGCUUCCCACGUGUGGGGACAGAGGUGCAGAAAAGCAUUUCCCUGAUAUCAAGAUGACAACAUGACCAACUCUGUAGCACCUCACAGAUGAUUUCUACCAGCCUUAGCUACGGAAACCGCACCCCAAGAAGAGCUUUGAAUUAGCCAUAUCCAGAGACCUGAUUCUGCGCACCCAGCACAGAACAAACACCCUUCCCCCAGAGGUCCACUCUAGAUGAGAGAGCUUCCCCAGGGGUUGCUAGCCGCACCUAACUGUCAUAAAGGAUGCUGGCCCCAGAGCUCAGAGCACACCUCCAUUGCACCUCGGUGCCUGCCCCAUGUCUGAGCCCAUGAGUUCUCAUCAGUAUCGCCUCCAGUCUUUUGGGCCUGCUUGGGACCUUUACUUUCUUGGGCUGUGGAACCAUAAUGUACUGACCUCGAAACCAGUCCUGGCUGGGUUACAGCCAGGACAACAAACUUGUUUCCACUGGAGAGCCUGGGUGCAUUCUAGUAGCAGUGAUUUAACCAAAGACCACCCAGACCUGAUUUUACUCACUGCCCCUUGCUACGUCUGAAGGUCUGGGGAAAGCACCCACCUUGGCCUGAGGUGUGUGGCUAUUAGCCUUUCCAGGAAAGUGACGGUGGCAACCGUGGUUAUAAACGUGACCAGUUAACAGAACCUAGCAGCCCUGCCUUCUGUCUGUGCCAGGGUGGAAGCCAGUGGCCCGAGCCGACCAGAAGAUCGCCUGAGCCGAGCAGAUGAGCCAGAGCCAAUCAGAGGAGCACCUGACUCCCAGCUUUAUAUUACCAUUUUUUCCUUUUAAUUUCUUCUUCUCACAUAUAUUACAUCCUGACCACAGUUUCCCCUUCGUCCCCUCCCCCUAGUCUCUUCUCCUUUCACCUUUGCUCAGAAAAGAGCACACCACUCCAGAGCAUCAACCAGACAUGCACAACAAGCUACAGUAAGUAAGACAGGCACAUAUUCUCACAUCGAGGCUGGGCAAGGCCACCCAGUAGGAGGAAAUGAGCCCCAAAGGCAGGCAGAAGAGCCAGAGAGAGCCCCUGUUCCCACUCUUAGGACAAGACCUAGCUCAGACCCCUGCAGGUUCCCUGAUCUCUUUGAGCCCCGUGAGUCCUGGUCAGUUGAUUCUGUGGGCCCUUUUGUGUGAUGUCCUUGAUCCCUGCGGCUACUCCAGCCCUUCUUCCCCCUCUUCUGCAGGACCCCCGAGCUCCGCCUAGCGUUUGGCUGUGGGACAGUGCACCUGUUCCCAUCAGUUGCUUCAUGAAGUCUCCCUGGUCUCUCUGGGGACGAUGAUGCCAGAUUUAAUAACGGGAUGCUACACUCUACAUUUCAUGAAGCAUAUUCAUUAUUUGGUGAUCUCUGCACCUGGGUCACUAGUCCAUCAAUGUCUUCAUUCACAGUUUCCUGUCAAAACUGCUUUUUUUUUUCCUUCGCAGGCAUCAGCUGGACCCCAAGGUGGGGUCUAGGCACUCCAAACCUUCAUGAACCUACACCUUAGUAGCUGUGAGUUUAUUUAUUCUUUUUGUUUGCUUAUUUGUUUGUCUUGAAACCGGCUCUCUCUAUUGUGUCUCUCCGGCUGUCCUGGAACUCACUAUGUUAAGCAGACUGGCCUCACAGAAAUCCACCUACGUCUAGCUUCUAAAUGUUAUUCUAUUUCUUUUAAAACGUAUUUAUCCAUUUAUUUAUUUUGAGACAGACCUCACUACAUGGACAGAGUGCUGGGAUUAAAGAUGCGUGUCACCAUGCCUGA
rnacentral:lncRNA from 1 species